rnacentral:rRNA from 1 species
UAGGGAAUCUUCCGCAAUGGGCGAAAGCCUGACGGAGCAACGCCGCGUGAGUGAUGAAGGUCUUCGGAUCGUAAAACUCUGUUAUGAGGGAAGAACAAAUGUGUAAGUAACUAUGCACGUCUUGACGGUACCUAAUCAGAAAGCCACGGCUAACUACGUGCCAGCAGCCGCGGUAAUACGUAGGUGGCAAGCGUUAUCCGGAAUUAUUGGGCGUAAAGCGCGCGUAGGCGGUUUUUUAAGUCUGAUGUGAAAGCACACGGCUCAACCGUGGAGGGUCAUUGGAAACUGGAACACUUGAGUGCAGAAGAGGAAAGUGGAAUUCCAUGUGUAGCGGUGAAAUGCGCAGAGAUAUGGAGGAACACCAGUGGCGAAGGCGACUUUCUGGUCUGUAACUGACGCUGAUGUGCGAAAGCGUGGGGAUCAAACAGG